GAUGAACGCUGGCGGCGUGCCUAAUACAUGCAAGUCGAGCGAAUGGAUUAAGAGCUUGCUCUUAUGAAGUUAGCGGCGGACGGGUGAGUAACACGUGGGUAACCUGCCCAUAAGACUAGGAUAACUCCGGGAAACCGGGGCUAAUACCGGAUAACAUUUUGAACCGCAUGGUUCGAAAUUGAAAGGCGGCUCCGGCUGUCACUUAUGGAUGGACCCGCGUCGCAUUAGCUAGUUGGUGAGGUAACGGCCCACCAAGGCAACGAUGCGUAGCCGACCUGAGAGGGUGAUCGGCCACACUGGGACUGAGACACGGCCCAGACUCCUACGGGAGGCAGCAGUAGGGAACCUUCCGCAAUGGACGAAAGUCUGACGGAGCAACGCCGCGUGAGUGAUGAAGGCUUUCGGGUCGUAAAACUCUGUUGUUAGGGAAGAACAAGUGCUAGUUGAAUAAGCUGGCACCUUGACGGUACCUAACCAGAAAGCCACGGCUAACUACGUGCCAGCCGCCGCAGUAA
rnacentral:rRNA from 1 species